CACGUAGGGUGCGAGCGUUGUCCGGAAUUAUUGGGCGUAAAGAGCUCGUAGGCGGUGUGUCGCGUCGGCCGUGAAAACCUGCAGCUUAACUGUGGGCUUGCGGUCGAUACGGGCAUCACUGGAGUUCGGCAGGGGAGACUGGAAUUCCUGGUGUAGCGGUGAAAAUGCGCAGAUAUCAGGAGGAACACCGGUGGCGAAGGCGGCUCACUGGCCCGGUACUGACGCUGAGGUGCGAAAGCGUGGGGAGCAAACAGGAUUAGAACUUACCCGUAGUCA
rnacentral:rRNA from 1 species